UACAGAGGGUGCGAGCGUUGUCCGGAAUCACUGGGCGUAAAGGGCGCGUAGGUGGCGACCCAAGUCUGUGGUGAAAGCUCGCCGCUUAACGGCGAGUCGGCCACGGAUACUGGGUGGCUCGAGCACUGUAGGGGCAGAUGGGAAUUCCGGGUGUAGCGGUGGAAUGCGUAGAGAUCCGGAAGAACACCGGUGGCGAAGGCGGUCUGCUGGGCAGUAGCUGACACUGAGGCGCG
rnacentral:rRNA from 1 species